AACCUGAUUAUUACAGAAAGCCUUGCUUAGUUCAGAGUCUGGGGACUGUCAAAAUUGAGAAACUUUAGAAAUUGCAAAUAUUUUUUUUUUUUGUAGAUGAAAGAUAAAAACGAGCUUGGAUGGGGGAAAGAGGAAGUUCUAUUUUUGAAGUGGACCCCGGGGUAGAAUAAAUACCGUCAUAAAAAUAGAGAUGCCUAAACUCUAAGAAGAUGCUUGGAAACGUCUCCGACCGAACGGCCAUGAGAACGGAGUCGUUGCUUGAAAAGUGGUUGUAUCUCACACUCAGCUCUGAUGAUGGCUAGUGAAUCGGCUUCUGGCUAAAGGACCAUCCAGCAAGAAUUGACCAGUAGGAUGAGAUCAUACCUGUGCCAUAUCCAGGGAGGACGACUGAUACCGUCACUGCAGAAUGACCCAGAGCCCAGGGAGAGACCUGAAGGAGGGAGGACAGACUGACAAGGAAGUAUCUUCCUCUUCCCCCAGAAAUAGGAUUACAAAGACAAACCAAGCAAAGAGGAAGAGUUGGAGAGGAGAGACCGUGAAGACACGGAGAAUUCCGGGACUCUGCUGUCUAUCUCCGCAUGGGCUUGCUGGGAUCGGGGCGCUGCUGAUUAGCACUGGCUCUUGCUUAAGAGAAAGGAGAAAUACCUAAAAUAAAAAAUAGUGACAACUGAGGUUUUCCCA
rnacentral:lncRNA from 1 species